AUAAAAAUGGACUUCCUAUUUAAGAACACUUUUGUUUUCCUUCUUGCUGUGUUGCUUAUUGUGGUUGUUCCAAUGGUAGUUGACGAAGUAAAUGAGGUGCUCGGAGUUGGACUAGAAGCUUGUGAAGACCUCAAAGAUUUUGUAGACCCAGACAAGCAGCCCUUUGACCAUGUCUAAGAAACUAUUUUAUGAAUGACAUAUAGAA
rnacentral:lncRNA from 1 species